CUAGCGAGCUGCCAUCUGCUGUGUUGUAAUUACAUCCCAGACAGGAUGCUAAAAGCCUCAGAAACGUUGAAUAUGUUGUCCCCCUGCAGCUGUGGGAAAAGUGCUUCAUCUGAGCCGGGGAGCCCAUGGAACAAAGGCUCGGUGUCCUGCCUUCAAGCUAUCUCCAGUGAAACCCCGAGCAUGAUUGCAGAGCUGGCAGUGACUUCAAAGAUUCCCCACAGAGGAAAGGCCCCCACGGCAUCCAGAUGAAAUAUGCGGUUCGUUCACCAUAAAUGCCUGAAGAAAUGGAUCAAGACAAAAAUCCAGUCAGGUCGGUAUAGCUAAAGGUGAUAAUGUGACUUUGCAACAGUCUUGACAGAUCAGCAACACUGAUAAGAAAAAAACAAAUAUGUUGAUGAACAGUUUAAUUAGGGUAAUCAGAGAUCAUAACUGAAAUAUUUAGGCACACCGUAUCCAUUUUUCUACGGUCAGAGCUCUAUGUUGUCCACCUUUAUAAGGAGAUGCUAACAUUGGGCCCAGAUACAUUUGACUGGGAUUAUCACAGAAGACAUAGCCAGCAGCAACAGGAGGUGAACUUACACAGAAUCACCAAAAUGGACAAAAUAAAAAAUAUUCCUGGAAAAAUAAUCUUUUGCAUCCGGAUCCUCUCCUACAAUUGUUCUUUAUGUUAUUGCUAUUGGAGGUUUUUAACUUCCCAAUCAAGGUAUAAGCCAGGGUAACUAAACGUUCUUUAAGCAUAUUAUUGUGUAAUAUUGCAUGUAAUGUGUGAUGUGGAUUGACCCAACCUGGAGCAUACAAAGAGAAUAACUCAAAAUUAUCUCUGUAGCUGUCACUAUUAGCACUUGGGUAUUUGGAGGUACUUUAUACCUGCACCCAGAGUGUUGCAGUGUAUGCAUUGUGAGGCCACCGAGGCACCCUCAGAGGCUUCUGUUGAAUUAUUGCCACUAUAAAUAGAUUGAUAUUUAUCAGCAAAUGCUUUGAUAUGAUUUAUUUCAAAAUUGUCCCAUAUUAGAAAACACAUGGAGUUCAGAUACAGCAGCCCCUUCAAGUACCGCUUUGUUCAUUGGACAACAUGCACAGUAUAUGAGCAUGGCAGGAGCCAAUCAGCUUCUUUGAGUGGUUAAUUGAUAUAUUGGCUUGUCAACUUUGUCUGCUAGUUCACUCCAGAGAGUUUAAUGGAUAUGUCUGUGAUAAAAGUGUCUUUCUGGCUGUAUAUGAGGUUAUGCCUUCAUUGUAAAUAUAGGAUUAGUGAGUGUUUUAAUAUGUGUAACUUGACUUGCUAAAUGGCAAUAUAUGACUUAGCAAAAUUCCUGUAGUUGAUUCUUUUAACUGCUAUUUCUCAUAUUUGGAAAAUAUUAGUUUCAUUGUAACUGUGCAUUAACAUGUAUUGCAAUCUUUAAUUAAUUAUUGAAUCUUUAUGUACUCAGUUCUCGUUUGAGUAUAAGUAUUGAUACCCUGUGGACAACGUUUUAUAGAACUUUCAGUGCAGCUAAUUUACUGUGUAAUUUACUAGUGUUCUGUUAUACAGUAUUAUAGUUCAUUAUUGUAAUAUUCUUGCAAAUAUUAAUGUUUUUGCAAAAUGUCAGUUGCUGUAAUAAGGCUGUGAGAGAUCUAGAAAAUAAUGUAUACAGACAGGUCAACGUUUUCAGUGUAUUGUCACAAUUUCAAAAAUAUGUUUUUUGCUAUAAAGACUGUACAAUUAAAAUAACCUUGACAUAUUUCAGUCAUAAAUAAUUAUAUGAUAGAAUUUAACUACUUUAGGAACUGUAGUGAUUUAUUCUUUUGGCACUAUUUCAUCACAUAUUCAACACACAUCUAACCAAAGUGCAUAGUUCAUGUUCAGCAUCAACAUGUAAAACCAGGAAACAAACUUAACAGUAACAGCAUAAAGCAGUAUUCAGUGGAUGAGUGUUAUCAAAAUUCAAGUUGAUGUUAGAGGGCAACUGGUUCC